rnacentral:snRNA from 1 species
GGAUGUGGCGGUGAUCUGGCUGCGACAACUGUCACCCCCUUGAUCGCCAGGACUGACUUGGCUGAUCUGGUUGCCUGGGGGGGGGGUAUCCCCUUUUUCCUUUCCUCAGUGCUCCACGCACAUCCCCCCGAAGCUGCACGCUUGGUCAAAGAGGAUGACCUUCCCUGAUAGAGGAGGACCGUUCUUUGAUCGAGGGUAUACGAGUAGCUGUGCUCCCCUGCUAGAACCUCCAAAUAAGAAAACAACAUCUCUAAAUACUAUUUCUGUCCUUGUUUUACAAGGGAGAAAACAAAGGUUCAGAGAACUUGCUUAAGACCUCAUGGCCAAUAAUCAAUGGAGUUGAGAUUUGUUAAAUA